rnacentral:rRNA from 1 species
UACGUAGGGGGCAAGCGUUGUCCGGAAUCAUUGGGCGUAAAGCGCGCGUAGGCGGCCCGAUCAGUCCGCUGUAAAAGUCCAGGGCUCAACCCUGGAAAGCCGGUGGAUACUGUCGGGCUAGAGUCCGGAAGAGGCGAGUGGAAUUCCUGGUGUAGCGGUGGAAUGCGCAGAUAUCAGGAAGAACACCGAUAGCGAAGGCAGCUCGCUGGGACGGUACUGACGCUGAGGUGCGAAAGCGUGGGGAGCGAACAGG